UACGAAGGGGGCGAGCGUUGUUCGGAAUUACUGGGCGUAAAGGGCGCGCAGGCGGCCCUUUAAGUCAGGCGUGAAAGCCCCGGGCUCAACCUGGGAGGUGCGCUUGAUACUCGAGGGCUUGAGUGCGGGAGAGGAGAGUGGAAUUCCCAGUGUAGAGGUGAAAUUCGUAGAUAUCGGGAGGAACACCUGUGGCGAAAGCGGCUCACUGGACCACAACUGACGCUGAGGCGCGAAAGCUAGGGGAGCAAACAGG
rnacentral:rRNA from 1 species